UUUAAUGUUGUAGAUCAAUCGCUCUAUACUUUAAAAUUAUUUGUCUUCUUGUCUUCUUCAUUUUGAUUAUUUUUUAAUCAUAAUUCUCAUUUCCUUUUUGAUUAUAAUAAACUUUUUUAAAUGACACAUCAAUAAAUGAGGAAAAAUAUGCCUUCCCUCUCCUCGCCACCACUAGUUUCUCACUAGUGACGGUGACACCUUCAACACAUCCCUAUCCUCUUCUCCCCCAGCAUUGCCAAUGUGCCUCCGACCAAACCAACCUCCAUCUCCAUAGACCGGAAGAUCUUCUCCAUUGAAGCCGAUGACCGCUACCACGCUUACCGCAUCCGGCUGACUGAAACCACAAAAGACCGAGCUUAUUUUCUUGCACUGGUAGACCCUCUCUUGGAUCAGAUCGACCUUUUCCUCUUUACUGAAUGCUCCGUUAAACCUAAAGUUCUUUAAGGAGUUUCGAUUGGAUGAUUAGACAGUGUGGAUUGAGAAAUCAAACAAUUGGCGGGAGGUAUUGGCCGAAGUUGCUAAGCUUGAUAACAAUGGAGGUUUAAAUAAGAUUCUGGUCCCUAUUGGUGAAGGAAGAAAUGGUUGGAGAGCUUUUUAUUCCUUGAUUUGUUCUUUCCUAGACAGAAAGGAGGGUCCCCCAUAACCACUACCACCUCCUUUAGUUGCGCAGCCCAAACCCUCCAUGAAGCUAGUCCUUUAACCUUUAAAGAGGCAUUAAAGACAAAACCUACCUUAUUUCAAUCCAAUGAGGCUUGUACUGUUGUCAUUCCUUCCCUUUUUGGCCUCAUCUCACGCCACUAUACACUUCAGCACGACAGUUAUUGUCAUAAGGCAAUGUUUUCAUGAUGAUUUGUAUAGCAUUUUGCGGGCCCUUUAGAUCCAUGUUUCUGACAGAUGUGCAUUAAAUCUGAUUGAAGCCGACCGAGCUCUCCUUAGCUGCGAGGAUGAAGAACAAGCAAAUGUCCUGGGGUCGAUCAAGGAUUGGUACAAGGUUGGUCUGUUUUCCCUCAAAUUCUCCCCUUGGAAUAACAACUUGACCAAGGCCAACCCGGUGGUCCCCUGCUACGACGGUUGGAUCAGAAUCAAAAACUUACCUUUGGAUCGUUGGGAUGAUCGUACUUUACAGUUCAUUGGGGACUUUUGCGGUGGUUUUUUGGAAAUUGCUAAGAAAACUUUCUCACGCCUGGACCUUUUAGAAGCAUUGAUCAAAGUUAAGGACAACUCCACUGGUUUCAUUCCGGUCUCUGUCAUUAUACCGUCCUCAUUAGCGUCCCCUGUUUUGGUACAAAUUGACCUGUUUUUUAACAACAAUCACUUUCUGGGUUUUGUGGCCGGAAUCCAUGGCUCCCAACCCCUGAACGGUUGUCCCCCUUUAGUAGAUGUGGCUUCCGAGGCGCGUGACAGUGAGCAAAAGGGUCUCUUAGGACCGUACCCGUUGCCAGCGUCUGCCCUUCCAGUGCAGGUACCUCUUUCUGACCCCCCUACAUCCCUUUAUGACAAAUCCCAGAGUCAACAACUUUUACCAAACUGUCUCCCUUCCUUAGUCAAUUUGACUCCCCCCACCCCACCCACAAGUACCCUCUCAUAACCGGCUAGUUUGUUUCAUCCAUAAAGGCCAGUCCUAAUCCUUUUACCUCGACCGAGCCCAUCAACUGGCCCACUCCAUAUGGGCCUCCCAUUGCUUCCCCCAUCCAAGCCUAACUUUUGUCUUCCCCUACCCUGUCCUCCUAUCCUCAGAUUAACCCCCUUCCAGCCCAGCCCUCACUUUGCACCCCCCCUCUGCGCCCCUUCGAGUGCAGCCCACCAUCGGCCCGGUCUUGUUUCCCGCCCAAUCUUUUCCUUGCGACGACCCUGUCCUAAACUACCCCUCGCCUCCCCUCCAAUCAUCCUUGCCCCCCCCAACCAUUCGGUCCUCCCCCAACAAACUGCCCAUCACUUUACAUAACAAGAAGUCCUUCCUUGUUCCCGACACUAAGAAUAGACCUUUGACCUCCUGCCCCUAUAUCUCUGACCAGGACGAUUUAGACCAUAGUCCUCUCCCCCUAUCCUUAGCUCCUCCCUCUCUAUCCUCCCAUCAUUCCUCCCCUCCUUGUAGCUUAGCCCUUCAUGGCUCGGUAGUGGGAACCUCCCUUCUAGUUGAGAGUGACUUAGAGCCAGACAACACCCUGGUCAUUAGUCCACUGGACCCUAUCACCAAUCUUCGGCUUGUGAUUCCCUGGCUGUUGGAACACAAUUUGUGCAUUACAACUCUUCCACCCACCUCAAGAAAGUCUAAGCACUCCCACAAGCACAGUAGAGGUAUUAAUGAGCUAAAAAGGCUUUACUCAUCUAUCAAUUAUGACAAGGACCUACCAAAGGCCUACCUUGGUGGGACGAACACACCAUUAUGGUCAUUUUAUCCUGGAACGUUCAAGGUAUCAAAGCUUGGGAGAAGCAUGCAGUUGUGAAAAAUCUCAUCUUAAAACACAAUCCGCCUAUGGCCAUUCUUCAGGAAACCAAGCUGGAAGUUGUGGACCGUUUUACCAUUAAGUCUCUUUGGAGUUCUAGACAUAUCAGUUCGUCUGUGUUGGAGGCCGCGGGUUCUUCAGGGGGUAUCAUUCUCAUGUGGAAUGACCCAUCUAUCAUGGCUGGUAAGGUAUUUAAAGGUCUCUUCUCUCUCACAACUCAGUUUUUUUUGGCUAACGGUUUCUCCUUUUGGCUAUCUGGUAUAUAUGGCCCUUCUCGGGCAAAAGACAGGCCUCUCUUUUGGCAAGAGUUGUUUGAUCUUCAAGGGCUGUGCACUCAAAAUUGGAUUUUGGGGGGAGACUUCAAUGUUUCUAGAUGGACCCAUGAGAGAUCCAACGGUAACCCACUCUCGGUUAGCAUGAAAUCCUUCAACUCCUUCAUUGUUGGGGCUGAUCUUAUAGAUAUUCCUUUACAAAAUGGCUCUUACACCUGGUCAGGUUAUAGACAUUACCCGGUUUUCACACUCAUUGACCGCUUUUUGAUCACGGAUACCGUCCAACAGAAAUUGCAUUCACUACCUCCAAGAGACUGGAGAGACCAACUUCCGACCACUUCUCGAUCCUACUAUCCAUUGGUGUUAACAAAUGGGGCCCUACCCCUUUCCGCUUUGAAAAUAUGUGGCUGCAUCAUAAAGACUUCGGAGGCCUUGUUGAUCAUUGGUGGGGGAAUACUCCUUUGAUCGGGCACCCGGGGCAUGGUUUUGUUAAAAAGUUGAAGGGUCUAAAAGAGGUCCUAAAAGCCUAGAACAGAGAUAUCUUUGGCUGCGUGCACACCCACAAGAAUUAGAUUAUUGCGGAAAUCUCGUUACUUGAUGGUAUGGAGGAGUCAUCGGGUUAUUCACCUGUCUUGAGAGCUCAAAAGACGAGUCUAAAGGCUCAGCUUAUCUCGGUGGUGGCUAAAGAGGAAACCUUUUGGAGGCAAAGAUGCAAGCUCACUUGGCUUAGUGAAGGUGACCAAAACACCAGGUUUUUCCAUCGUAUUGUUACCACUAGGAAAAGACUGAACACUAUUCUUGAAAUCAUUUCCUUUGUCGGUGUUAGUCUUCUCACAGAAUUUGAAAUUGUUGAGGAAUUCCCGAGUUUUUUCACAAGUCAAUACACAAAGAAGAAUAGCCUUGCUGCCUUCCCCACAUGCAACCACCAUUUCCUCACGAUGCAACAGUCUUUACAGCUUGAAUCCCCUUUCACCGAAUAGGAAAUUUGGGGGGCUAUUUGCGCCCUUGGUUCCAACAUUAAUGAAACUUACAUUUGUCUUCCGAGUUCCUCCACCAAUGAUCUUUACAACAUUAAUGAACCCCCUUUCUCCGGGCCCUGAUGGAUAUACUUCCGAGUUCUAUAAAAAAUCUUGGCAUACCUUAAGCCCGACAUAUUGAGGGUGUUUCAAGAUUUUUUUAAGAAAGGUAUCGUCAAUGCCAACAUUAAUGAAACUUACAUUUGUCUCAUCCCAAAGCGUGUUGGUGCUAAAAGAGUUGGUGACCAUAUGCCGAUCAGCUUGACCAUGGGUAUUUACAAGAUUUUAGCUCGAGUUCUCUCAUAAAGAUUAAAGGUUGUCCUCCCCCAUUUGAUCUCCGAGUAUCAGUCAACCUUUGUUGAGGGGCGCCAAAUAUUGGAUGUCUCUCUAAUUGCCAAUGAGGUCAUUGAUGAGUGGUCCAGAAAAGGGAAAAAGGGCAUUAUGAUUAAAUUAGAUAUUGAAAAGGCUUUUGACGCUGUUGAUUGGGGUUUCCUUGACAACUCUCUUAAAGUUAGAGGCUUCGAUAACCUCGGGAGGAAAUGGAUUAUAGGCUGUAUCUCAUCCGCCAAUUUCUCCAUUAUUAUUAAUGGUCGCCCUAGGGGCAAGAUACAUGCUAUCAAAGGUAUUAGACAAGGUGAUCCUCUAUCCUCUUUCCUCUUUAAUAUUGUGAUCGACACCCUCAGUCGUAUGCUUACACAGGCUGAAUUGGAUAAAAAGAUUCAGGGUUUUUCUCUUGGUUCUAGCAACCUCUCCAUCUCCCAUCUUCAGUUUGUAGAUGACACCAUUUUAUUUUCUAUCUACAACCUUGAUCAGAUCAGGAACUUGUUUGAUGUCAUUGAUGCUUUCCAAUCUUGCACUGGCCUAUCCAUCAACCACCAAAAAUCCGAGAUUCUUGGCAUCAAUUUGUCCCCAUCACAGCUCUAGGACAUUGCUGGUUUAUAUGUUUGCAAGGUUGGUUCGUGGCCUAACACCUAUCUUGGCUUGCCCCUUCUCGGCAAACCUAGAACUCUAUCUUUCUAAGCCCUUGUUAUUGCGAAAAUCAAACAAAUAAUUCAUGCAUGGUCCUACGAAUACAUCUCCAAAGGGGGGAGAUUAACUCUUAUUCAAGCAUCUUUGAGUAACCUUCCCACAUACUACUUAUCUCUCUUCACCAUCCCUAGCAAGGUGGCUAAUAUUAUUGAAAAACUAUUCCAUGAUUUCUUAUGGAAAGGGAAGAUCGAUGGCCUGAACUCUCACCUUGUUGGUUGGAAAAAGUCACUACCCCUCAAUCUGGGGGGGGGGGCUUGAGGAUAACUAACCUUAAGCUGAGGAAUGAGGGGCUCCUUGCAAAAUGGAUUUGGCGCUUUAGGUUGGAGCGAUCGGCCUUAUGGCGCAGAGUUAUCACAGCCAAAUUUGGAGUUCCCCCUGUGACAACAAAGUUGGUAUUAGAUCGAUUUCCUCAUCAAAAGGUCCUUGGAAGGCCUUGCAUCAUCUCCAACCAUUGGUGGACUCGCAUGUUUCUGCCACAUUGGGCUCGGGAAACAAUAGUUCUGGCACGAUGCUUGGAUUGAAAAUAGACCGUUGAUCACCUCAUUUCCUAACUUAUAUGCACCGUCUCUUGCAAAGGAUGCCUUGGUCAGUCACCUUUGGAUUGUUGACACUAGUGGUUGGGACCUUCAUCUCCGUCGUCAUCUCAAUGAUGUGGAAACUGAUGGAUGGGCCACCCUCUCCCAACUCCAAAACAUUUUUCAGCCCCAACAUGCCCAAGAUAAAUGGUUUUGGAAUUUGGAACCAUCUGGCAUUUUCUCCACAAAGUCAUGGAUUGAUUCCCGCUACAACAACAAUGGGCCCUCCACCGAGGCCUCUAUUAAAGGUAUUUGGUCUGAUCUUUAUCCAAAAAAGUUUAAAUUCUUCCUUUGAGAGCUCUCCCAUAGGGCCAUCCUCACUCACGACAAGCAUUAACGUCGCAACCCAUCUACUCUGCUUUCCCCAAGCUGGUGCCAUCUUUGUAAAAAGGACAACGAGUCCCAAAGCCAUCUAUUCUUGUACUGCGAGUUUUCUAGAGCCUUUUGGAACAUUAUCCUUCCUGCUUUCAACUGGCAUAUGGCCUUUCCUUCAUAUAUUAGCCUUUUCCUCUCCCUUACUCUUGAUUAUCAUCCUUUCAAGGGAGAAAAGGCCUCCUUUGGAUGAAUUUUGUUAGAGCUUUCCUCUGGUCGGCUUGGUUUGAACUGAACAACCGCCCCUUCAACAACAAAAUCCAGCACAUCGACAUCUUUUUUUGAUCAUGUCCUUAAUACUAUUAUAUCUUGGUGUAAAUUGUCUAAGCUCUUUUAUGAUUAUAGCUUCAAUACUCUUUUGUCCAGUUUCUCGAUUUGUGCGUGUCAUCCUUGCCCAGGGGACAUGCUAAUCUUCUCUAUAUCGUUCCAAUUUUAUCGGAUGUCCCUGAAGGGACGAUACUAUUUUGUCCAAUUGGAGAAGUCUUUUGUAACUCCUUUGGAUCCGGGGCUUUCUUUCCCCCUUUUUUGUAAUUUCAUUUAUCAAUGAAAUUUGUUUCUUAUUAAAAAAAAAAAAAAUCUCAUUUCCUUUUCAAAUUUAAUUAAAUGCUACCAAGGUUGGCUUAAGGUGCUGAUGAGACAGUUGCUUUAGGCCUCGUAACUUUACAGGAUUUAUUUUCUUCCAAAGCCACUGAUUACCUUAGGCCAGACUAGCCUAUAGUAAGAUUGACAAAGAUUUGAUAAUGAAACUUAAAAUAAAUGUAGACUAAAAAACACUUAAAAGUUACAGAAAACAUAAGAUAAUGGGGCUGAAAAAAUGAUGAUAGGAAAAUAAGAAAACUCAAAAUCUUUUACAAAAAUGUUAAAAAAAAUCACUAUGUAAGUUGGAACAAGAGUACAACAGAUGAUGAGGUGGAAAGAAAAAUGUUGGGGAAAAUAGGUAAGGAAACCCAAAAUCUGUGACAAAAUGUGAACGUUACUUUAAACCCCCUUUCCUUGUCAUUGCUUGCAAAAUGGGAUUGGUGUUAUUUUAAGGAGCCGCUUUCUCAAUGGAAAUUGGUGAUCUCUAUAAUUCAUGGCUCUGAUAUUGAUUGGCAUACACUUGGCAAACAACACUCGUCUCUGCAGUCCAUGGUUCGGUAUUUAUCGAGCUUGGGAGUUUGGAUGAUUAGGUUACAUCAAUUUGGUAUUCGAGCGACCACCUGGGCCAAGAUUGAUUGUUGCCAAUGGAAUAUCGGGAAACUCUUGGCGACGUUGAUCACAAGAGGGAGCUUCGUGAGUUGUGCUCGUUGCCAAAGAACACACAUCUAAUUAGGGGGAACCCUUGAAAUUCCAAGAAAGAAAGAAGAAACCGAAGAUUUCUCAAGAUUUUGCAAGAAUGGACUAUUACUGACAAAAGAAGGCAUCCAAGAAUAAAAAUACAACAAUUGGUAUUGGCAAGAAAAUCAAAUUUACUUCAAAUUAGGGAAAGAAAACCAGAAAUUCCUUAUGGUCAGGUUGCACCUAGUAGAGUUGCAGAGAGUGGUAACUGGCUAGCUGCGUCUAGAUAUGCACCACGUGAUGUAUUAGAAAACACUAGAGAUUCAUACGGUAUGGGAGAUGCUAGUGAAGAUGAAGAGUUAUCUGUAAGUGGUUCAGGAACUGUUGUGAUUCGGUCUCUGAGGGGAUCUCAAACAUCUACUCAAUUUCAUAAUGAAAGCAGUCCGUCUGGCAGUGUGCAAGCAUAUAUGGAGGACACGUCUUUUAAUUGUACUGUUGUUUUGCAUGGUCAACGUGAUGAUUCUAAUACUCCUUAGACUCCAAAAUCCAGAUUGGGAAUUCAAGAAAGGACUUCAAGUUUUUCUCCUGAAGAUAGUGCAUCAAAUCUUCCGGAGGCAAAGGUUGUGAUUCAAGCAGGAUUGAAGAAAGCUAAUGCAAAGGAUAGAUCAACUAUCAAUAAACUCAACGACAAGAAGGAAAAUAGAAGAAUAGAGCGCUCUGACUCUUCAAGGCAUUCUCGUGAAUUCUUUGAUGCACCCCAAGAGCGUUGAAACCAUCUCUAUCAAUUGAUGAAGAAGAAAGUGCAAAAAUAGCAUUGUCUUUUGCGCCAUUAUCAGUUUUGUUUAUGUCAUCCUUGAAAGAGGUAGUUGUAGAUGAUUCGGAAGGAUCACCUGCUUGUAAUGUAUUUAAUGCACUUAUAAACAUGGAACAUGUAAAACCUGGAUCAUGUGAGGAUGUUGAUUUUCAACUACCUCUCCUUUUAUCUCCUUUAGGUUACAUCAGAGAGUGAUACUUGAGCUUGAGAGAGGUUGAGAGAAACUAGAAAGUUCAUUAAAAAAAUUGGGGGUUUAGAAUAUAAUGAGUUUUUUUCCUCUCCCUUUCUUUUUCUUUUUCAUUUUUUUUCUUCCCUUUUGGAAGGGAUAAAGCUGUCAUUUCAUGCUUCAAAGUCCUACUACUGGCACAGGGUUGGGAAGAAUGAUAAUAGUUUGAAAAGCCCUUGGAUUAGCAUUUCUAGUACUUGGUUGAAGGUGGAUGCUUUUGCUAGCUUUAAAUGUGGGAAUGGAACAGAAUAGCUUUUUGGUUAGAUCCGUGGGAUAGUUUGGCUCUUUCAAGUAUUUGAUAUCCAAGGUUGUAAUUGCUUUAUUCCCAAAGGGCUUGGUUGCAGCACAUUGGGAUGAUUCUCCUUCCUCAUGGUCUAUUAUCUUUCGUCGAUUGCUCAAUGAUGAUGAGAUUAUUGAAUUCCAAGACUUGCUCGGGCAAAUUUCAGAUAGGAGUCUUUGGAAACUUUGAUAGAAGAACAUGGUCCUUAUAGGCAUCUGGGACAUUUUCAGUGAAAUUCGUCUCAGCACACUUGCCCAUUUUCCCCAUCGGACAAGCCAUUUUAUAAGGCACUUUGGAAGACUAAAUGCCCGCGACGUGUCAACAUCCUAGUAUGGAUUAUGGUUUUUGGCUACCUAAACUGCUCCUCGAUCAUGCAAAGGAAAUUCCCCUAUCAUUGUUUGUCUCCAGCUAUUUGCCCUUUAUGUAAACGGGAAGGAGAAGACUUGCAGCACCUUUGCUUGCUCAUAUACAGUCCACUGCUGGUGGAGAUUAUCAUUCUUUAAUGUCGCUUGGAUGUUUGGAGAUGUCUUUAGAGACAAUGUUCAACAGCUUCUUAUAGGUCCAACUUUGAAAGUGGGCCCUCGGCUGAUUUGGGCUAAUAUGGUUAGGCAUUGUUCGCUGAAAUUUGGUUUGAAAGAAAUCAAAAGGUGUUCCUUGGCAAACAACUUGGCUGGUUGGACCAUUUUGAAAUUGAUCGUCGGAAUGCUUCCUCUUGGUGCACAUUAUCCAAGCCUUUUGAAGACUUUUGCAUCCAAGACUUAUGUUUAAAUUGGAACACUUUUAUUUUCCCAGCUUAAGUUUCUGUAUUUUUGUUGUAUUGAUACUGUUUGGACUGUUUGUUGCUUUUUGUUUUCCUUUGUUGUUGGAACGUUUUUGUUUCGUUUUGUAUGGACAUGAUGAGGAUGCUAAGGGGGUUUCAACCUAGUUGAGAUGUCCGGUGCAUCUCUUGAUCCUCAAACUUUGUUCUCGCUUUUUAUAUUUCUAUAUUGUACUUUAAGGAUUAGUCUCAUUUCAUUAAUUCAACGAGGCUCUGUUCUCGCA